rnacentral:lncRNA from 1 species
AUGGCACUUGUCAUUCACAGGCCGGGCCCCUGGGGAUGCGGCUCGGGGACAGCAGGCUGGGAGCCCCCGAGCGGCCUGUGCCCGGGGGGCGGGGGUGCAGCCCGGGGCCGAAGGCCUGGCUGGAAGGGGAGCCCGAAGGCCCUUCCCGGGCAGAGCUGGCUCUUCCAACAGGUCUCAGCUGGAACUUGCCAGCAGCUGCAGGGAGGCCCCGCCGAGGGGGCUAAGGGGGCCGGGGGCGCCCCGGGAGCCUCUCCGCAGCCUCCCCGCCGGCCCUGGGUGCUGAUGCGUCCUGCAGCCAGGGCGACCCCGAGGCCACCCCCGAGGUCACCCCCAGGCCACCCCCGAGGUCACCCCGAAGCCACCCCUGAGGUCACCCCUGAGGUCACCCCCGAGGCCACCCCCGAGGUCACCCCGAAGCCACCCCCGAGGUCACCCCGAGGCCACCCGGGUCACCCCCUGAGGUCACGCCGAGGUCACCCCGAGGUCACCCCAGGCCCAAACAGGGGCUCUCGUGUGUUCUGCUCGGGGCACGCGGACCCCUCACCCCUCGCCUUUUCCGGUUUUCAAGUGCCCCUUUCUCCUCGGUGCUCAGCCUCUGCCCCGGCCCUCGCCCGUCCCAGAACCCCUCCUGGUGGGUCCCCGCGCCCAGGCCGCGCUGCGCUCUGUCCCCCUCUGCCUCUCCUGCCACCCGCCUGCCUGGCCCCCGGCGCCCCUGUGAAUGGGGCUGCGAGCACCUGGGGACCCAGGGGACCCGGUGGCAGCCUUUGGCGCUGCGCGCAGCCUUGCCCCGCGGUGGCCCCAACACUCGGCUCCCGGUGGCCUUGCUCCAGAGCUGUCGGGGAGUCUUGCAUUAUCCAGAGGCCCUGCUGGAAGUUUUACUGCCUUUUUUUUUUUUUUUUUGCAUCUAUGUGCAAACUGCGUUCCAGAAUGAUCCUUGACCUGACCCAUGUGGUGUUCUGGGGGAGACUUUUACUCACUGGAGCCCUUCACCAGGUCCAUGUGGUGUUCUGGGGGAGACUUUUACUCACUGGAGCCCUUCACCAGGUAGGGGCCCCAGGACCGGAGGAGAUGGUGGAGCCCUGA